rnacentral:rRNA from 1 species
CUUGUGCCAGCCGUCGCGGUAAUACAGAGGGUGCAAGCGUUAAUCGGAAUUACUGGGCGUAAAGCGCGCGUAGGUGGUUCGUUAAGUUGGAUGUGAAAUCCCCGGGCUCAACCUGGGAACUGCAUUCAAAACUGACGAGCUAGAGUAUGGUAGAGGGUGGUGGAAUUUCCUGUGUAGCGGUGAAAUGCGUAGAUAUAGGAAGGAACACCAGUGGCGAAGGCGACCACCUGGACUGAUACUGACACUGAGGUGCGAAAGCGUGGGGAGCAAACAGGA